AAGAGAAUUGGCCGAGCGGUUUAAGGCGGUAAACUUGAGAUUUAUUUGGUUUUUAUAAAUCACAUCCGUUCAAAUCGGAUAUUCUCUG
rnacentral:tRNA from 1 species